GAGUGAUGAAGGCCUUCGGGUUGUAAAGCUCUGUCUUUUGGGACGAUAAUGACGGUACCAAAGGAGGAAGCCACGGCUAACUACGUGCCAGCAGCCGCGGUAAUACGUAGGUGGCGAGCGUCGUCCGGAUUUACUGGGCGUAAAGGAUGCGUAGGCGGAUUUUUAAGUGAGAUGUGAAAUACCCGGGCUUAACUUGGGUGCUGCAUUUCAAACUGGAAGUCUAGAGUGCGGGAGAGGAGAGUGGAAUUCCUAGUGUAGCGGUGAAAUGCGUAGAGAUUAGGAAGAACACCAGUGGCGAAGGCGACUCUCUGGACCGUAACUGACGCUGAGGCAUGAAAGCGUGGGUAGCAAACAGGAUUAGAUACCCUGGUAGUCCACGCCGUAAACGAUGAGUACUAGGUGUAGGAGGUAUCGACUCCUUCUGUGCCGCAGUUAACACAAUAAGUACUCCGCCUGGGAAGUACGAUCGCAAGAUUAAAACUCAAAGGAAUGGACGG
rnacentral:rRNA from 1 species